UUGGAGGGCAAGUCUGGUGCCAGCAGCCGCGGUAAUUCCAGCUCCAAUAGCGUAUAUUAAAGUUGUUGCAGUUAAAAAGCUCGUAGUUGAAUUUCGGGAUCAGCAAGUUGGUCGUGCCUCUGGUACGUACUGGCUUUACUGGUUCCUCCUUCUUGAAGAACUGUAAUGUCAUUAAUUUGGUGUUGCAGGGAAACAGGACUGUUACUUUGAAAAAAUUAGAGUGUUUAAAGCAAGCUAACGCUUGAAUACAUUAGCAUGGAAUAAUGAAAUAGGACGUUUGAUCCUAUUUUGUUGGUUUCUAGGAUUGACGUAAUGAUUAAUAGGGAUAGUUGGGGGCAUUAGUAUUCAAUUGUCAGAGGUGAAAUUCUUGGAUUUAUUGAAGACUAACUACUGCGAAAGCAUUUGCCAAGGAUGUUUUCAUUAAUCAAGAACGAAAGUUAGGGGAUCGAAGACGAUCAGAUACCGUCGCAGUCUUAACCAUAAACUAUGCCGACUAGGGAUCGGAUGAUGUUAAUUUUUUAAUGACUCAUUCGGCGCCUUACGGGAAAC
rnacentral:rRNA from 1 species